rnacentral:rRNA from 1 species
UACGUAGGUGGCAAGCGAUACUCGGAAUCACUAGGCGUAAAGCGCAGGUAGGCGGUUUGGUAAGUCUUUUUGUGAAAGCUCCCGGCUUAACUGGGAGAGGUCAAGGGAAACUACCGGACUAGAGUGUGGUAGGGGAUACUGGAAUUCCUGGUGUAGCGGUGAAAUGCGUAGAUAUCAGGAGGAAUACCUAUGGCGAAAGCAGGUAUCUGGGCCAUCACUGACGCUGAGCUGCGA